rnacentral:lncRNA from 1 species
UUCUGAACUUGGUUCCUUCCUGCUCCAGGAAGAAUAGCCUCUUUAAAACCAGCAACUAUUGGGAGGUGAAGCAUCAAAGCAAAGCAAAUAAAGGUCUGGGGACUAUUCUUGAGGAUACCUGAGGAACGACCUUGAAGCAGUCUGGAGUACUUGUCAUCUAGCCAACAGUAAAGGUGGGUUAAGCCUGAAUCGAGGUCUGA